GACGAACGCUGGCGGCGUGCCUAAUACAUGCAAGUAGAACGCUGAAGGAGGAGCUUGCUUCUCUGGAUGAGUUGCGAACGGGUGAGUAACGCGUAGGUAACCUGCCUGGUAGCGGGGGAUAACUAUUGGAAACGAUAGCUAAUACCGCAUAAGAGUAGAUGUUGCAUGACAUUUGCUUAAAAGGUGCAAUUGCAUCACUACCAGUUGGACCUGCGUUGUAUUAGCUAGUUGGUGAGGUAACGGCUCACCAAGGCAACGAUACAUAGCCGACCUGAGAGGGUGAUCGGCCACACUGGGACUGAGACACGGCCCAGACUCCUACGGGAGGCAGCAGUAGGGAAUCUUCGGCAAUGGACGGAAGUCUGACCGAGCAACGCCGCGUGAGUGAAGAAGGUUUUCGGAUCGUAAAGCUCUGUUGUAAGAGAAGAACGAGUGUGAGAGUGGAAAGUUCACACUGUGACGGUAUCUUACCAGAAAGGGACGGCUAACUACGUG
rnacentral:rRNA from 1 species